UUGAAGUCAUGCUAAAUGCUGCAGUUGAGCCUUACCUAGUCUCCUUGUUUAAGUUUUUUUUAAGGUUAAGCCUAGGAUGGGUAACUAUGAGGUUUGCCUAUUUGUCUUAAAAUAUAUACUUCUAGGACAUGCUAAAAUUAGAAAUGAUGACAUUCUGUUUUAUAGGACACAGUUUAGAGCAGAUUAUAGAGAUACACAAAGAGUAACUCAGAUGUGCUGGCCCUCAAGCUUAUCAGAGAUCUGAUGAAUAUGGCAUUUUAACAUGUGUAAGCUUAUUGUGACAGGAAGUCCCAAAAUCCUGACAGUAGCUCCCCCAAGGUCUCCGAGAAGAUUUGGGCACAACUACAGAUGACUGCAACUCUGGAUUGUGGUAUGCUAACCACUGGGCAAUACUGCCUCAACUGGCCCACUGCUAAGGCCCAGCCAAAACUGUGGACACCUGGAGUCAAUGUUUCACGUUGCUAAGGGCGAGACUGCCAUUUACUACAUACAACCACUGGCUGGAUUGAGACUCGCCUUCUCCUGGGACGCCAUUAGAAGGCCUCCGUCUCUCCCGGCUCCCAAUGGACAACAACCAUCACCACAUCCCUACAUAGAGACUUCUCUGCCCCCAAUGGGAGAUGCCCAGACGCCCGUCCCUCCAGACAAGCUGGAGAAUUUCAGGUUUCUAUCCCUAGUGCCAGCUGGCACCAGGGCCUCUUAAGUUUACAUGCUUCUGUAACUAAACCUCACCUCAAUGACAGAUCAAAAACAAAGCCUUCUUUAAUAUUGCCAGUGAUUGGGUAAAUAAAGUCUCGUCCAGGUAGACAGAGGUUCCCAUGUACAAACCUCAUCGAUCCAAACCUUUCAAUGCCUACCUACAGGAUUUUCUCUGUUUCAGUGUCCUGCUAGACACAGGUGUCUCCUACAGCCACAACAGCGCCAAAGCAGCUACAGGUGUUCAGCUCUGACCUCACAGACUUCCAACAAGAUACAGGUGUUCAGCUCUGACCUUACCAACAAGCUGGACCUGCACCUUCCCUCCCAGCCAUGGGUGUUCUCACAGACCUGGAAAAGCAUCAAAGAAACCUAUUCUUCCUGGACUUCAGCCUUUUGACCUCCCUACAUCACCCCCAGUGUCAGCAGGAAGUAGCCAGAAGAGAAUCUAUGCCCGUUAUCCACCUGUUGUUAACAAAAGGCUGAAGUGGUGUGCUUCAGGACCAGGACAAGCAGCUCCAGGUUCUCCCAGUGUUCCCCAGUCCUUCCCUGCUGCCUUGCAUGGCUGGCAAUUCUCUCUGUUAAAAACCCUCUACCCUAAACCCGCUGCCCUAAAUUUUCCAGGGCAGAGACUUCUCUUAUUCUUAACCUUACAACCUAACCAUUUGUUGUUAUUCCCCUCUCAACCUCUUACAUGACAACCAAGAGCUGCUUCCAAUGAGCCUAAGUUUAUAUACUUUAACUUACCUUAUAAAAGGCAGCCCAAGCUCCCUAUUUUUAAUUAUAGAAAAAAGGGGGUAAUGUUGGGAUCAGCAAGCAGGCAUUUCUACAGGCAGCCCCUGGGGCCUGGCAGACCCGGCAGGUAUCAGGCAUUUGGAAAGACACCUAGACCACCUGCUGACCACCGGAAACCACCUGCACAUGCUCUGGACCACCCUAUAAGAGAACUGGGGUCCCUCCCCUUCCUUCUUCUUCUCGCUCCUUCUUCUCUCUUUGUCUGUCUGUCUCUCUCUCUUUCUCUCUCUCUAUAUAUAUAUCUCUAUCUAACUCCCUCUCUGUAACCCCCCUCUA